rnacentral:rRNA from 1 species
AUUGAACGCUGGCGGAAUGCUUUACACAUGCAAGUCGAGCGGCAGCGCGGGGGGCAACCCUGGCGGCGAGCGGCGAACGGGUGAGUAACACAUCGGAACGUACCCAGUGGUGGGGGAUAGCCCGGCGAAAGCCGGAUUAAUACCGCAUACGACCUGAGGGGGAAAGUGGGGGACCGCAAGGCCUCACGCCGUUGGAGCGGCCGAUGUUCGAUUAGCUAGUUGGUAGGGUAAAGGCCUACCAAGGCGACGAUCGAUAGCUGGUCUGAGAGGACGACCAGCCACACUGGAACUGAGACACGGUCCAGACUCCUACGGGAGGCAGCAGUGGGGAAUUUUGGACAAUGGGGGCAACCCUGAUCCAGCCAUGCCGCGUGUGUGAAGAAGGCCUCGGUUGUAAGACGACUUUGUUGGGUAGAACGGACCGGG